AGCUAAUAAAAUUGCUGUAAAAGUUAUUCAAGAGGUCAAUAAGAAAUAUAAAUGUUUGGAAAUUGAUCUUGAUGGUUUAUAUAAAAGAAUGCUGCUU